rnacentral:lncRNA from 1 species
GAACGACUCAUGUUUUAUUCUUGUUCCACCACAGGCAGCGUCUCCUCCCUGGGCCCCGAGCAUCCCGGCCUGACAACGAGUCAGAGGAGCAUGGGAAAGCCUCUCAGGAUUCCACCUCUGCAAAUUCCCUACAAGGGACCCCCACUAACGCCAACACCACAGUUACCAGGGAGAGCAGGAAGAGGGGACUCUCCAAGCUUCGGGGGCUCCCAGGCCAGGCUGCCCCCCCGGCCGCCCAUCAGCAUCCCCAGCCUGCUGCAGAGGCAGUGUUUAGUGUGAAGUUUUGAAGUCAUUUCAAAGACAAAGUUGUGUUUUUACCGCGACUUCCAUGCCUCCUGCGGGACCUGCUCACCUUGGGGCAGUGACACCUGAAAGAUGAGCACCCAGCCACCCGCUCUGCCCCCUUCCAGUCCUCCAGCCUUCGUGCCCACCAGCAUGUGUACGUUAGACAGCCAGUGCGACUGUACUUUCCCUCUUGUUGAAAUAAUUAAGUAAUGUAGUGGAAUAAAGUAUUUUUCUGAUUAUCAG